rnacentral:rRNA from 1 species
UACGUAGGGCGCAAGCGUUGUCCGGAUUCACUGGGUGUAAAGGGUGCGCAGGCGGGAAAGUAAGUUAGAGGUGAAAUCUCACAGCUCAACUGUGAAACUGCCUUUGAUACUGCUUUUCUUGAGUUAGGGAGAGGUUGAUGGAAUUCCAGGUGUAGCGGUGAAAUGCGUAGAUAUCUGGAGGAACACCAGAGGCGAAGGCGGCCUGCUGGGCUGCACCUGACGCUGAGCCGCGAAAGCCAGGGGAGCGAACGGG